rnacentral:lncRNA from 1 species
AUGGCAAGGUUCACGGGUUAUCAAACUUCUGCAAUCUUGAUUUUUGUGACUGCAACAAUGAUGAUUUUGCCAGGACUUGCAACCCUAGCACCCUCCCCAUCAAAUUUUAUGUUCCUACAGGAAUGCAAAUCAAGGCUUCAUGCUAGGUGUGGAAAAGAAAUAUUCAUUACAAUAAUUAAGGAAUGGUCUAUUAGUGAUAGGUGUUGCAUGGAGUUUGUAUCAAUGGGUCAAUCAUGCCAUUUUGCAUUAGUGAACAAAGCUCUUUCGGGCCCUCUAUCCAAAUUAAACAAGUCGGAUGCUUUGACCAAGAGUGCAGAAAUUUGGAAUCA